rnacentral:rRNA from 1 species
UACGGAGGAUCCAAGCGUUAUCCGGAAUUACUGGGCGUAAAGAGUUGCGUAGGCGGCAUUGUAAGCAGGUAGUGAAAGCGUGUGGCUCAACCAUACUCACAUUAUCUGAACUGCAAAGCUAGAGGACGAGAGAGGUCACUGGAAUUCCUAGUGUAGGAGUGAAAUCCGUAGAUAUUAGGAGGAACACCGAUGGCGUAGGCAGGUGACUGGCUCGUUCCUGACGCUCAGGCACGAAAGCGUGGGGAGCAAACGGG